rnacentral:rRNA from 1 species
UACGUAGGGUGCAAGCGUUGUCCGGAAUUAUUGGGCGUAAAGAGCUCGUAGGCGGUCUGUCGCGUCGGCUGUGAAAACUCGGGGCUCAACCCCGAGCCUGCAGUCGAUACGGGCAGACUAGAGUGCUGUAGGGGAGACUGGAAUUCCUGGUGUAGCGGUGAAAUGCGCAGAUAUCAGGAGGAACACCGGUGGCGAAGGCGGGUCUCUGGGCAGUAACUGACGCUGAGGCGCGAAAGCGUGGGGAGCAAACAGG